UACGGAGGGGGCGAGCGUUGUCCGAAGUUACUGGGCGUAAAGCGCGCGUAGGCGGGUGGUAAGUCCGCUGUGAAAGCCCGGAGCUCAACUCCGGAGGGUCGGUGGAUACUGCCCAUCUUGAAGGUGCUAGGGGGAGAUGGAAUUACCGGUGUAGCGGUGAAAUGCGUAGAGAUCGGUAGGAACACCAGUGGUGAAGGCGGUCUCCUGGAGCAUACUUGACGCUGAGGCGCGAAAGCUGGGGAGCGAACGGG
rnacentral:rRNA from 1 species